GGUUGAUCCUGCCAGUAGUCAUAUGCUUGUCCUAAAGAUUAAGCCAUGCAUGUCCAAGUAUAAACCUUUAUACGGUGAAACUGCGAAUGGCUCAUUAUAUCAGUUAUAAUUUACAUGAUGAUGACUUGCUACAUGGAUAACCGUGGUAAUUCUAGAGCUAAUACAUGCAAAGGGCCCGCGAGGGUGGCAUUUAUUAGAUGGAACCAGCGAAAGAUGGUGAAUCAUGAUAACUGAGCGGAUCGCAUGGCCUCGAGCUGGCGACGCUUCAUUCAAAUUUCUGCCCUAUCAACUUU
rnacentral:rRNA from 1 species